GGCGAUCAGAUACCGCCCUAGUUCUAACCGUAAACGAUGACAACCAGCGAUUAGUCGGCGUUAAUUUAUGACCCGACUAGCAGCUUCCGGGAAACCAAAGUUUUUCGUUUCCGGGGGAAGUAUGGUUGCAAAGCUGAAACUUAAAGGAAUUGACGGAAGGGCACCACCAGGAGUGGAGCCUGCGGCUUAAUUUGACUCAACACGGGAAAACUCACCCGGCCCGGACACCGUAAGGAUUGACAGACUGAGAGCUCUUUCUUAAUUCGGUGGGUGGUGGUGCAUGGCCGUUCUUAGUUGGUGGAGCGAUUUGUCUGGUUAAUUCCGAUAACGAACGAGACUCUGGCCUAUUAAAUAGACGAUAUAUAUAGAAGUAUAUCGCGCUUCUUAGAGGGACAAGCGGCGUCUAGCCGCAUGAAAUAGAGCAAUAACAGGUCUGUGAUGCCCUUAGAUGUCCGGGGCUGCACGCGCGCUACACUGAAAGAAUCAGCGUGCGAAUAACCUAGUCCGGAAGGACCGGGUAACCCAAGUAAAUUCUUUCGUGCUUGGGAUAGGGAAUUGCAAUUAUUUCCCUUAAACGAGGAAUUCCCAGUAAGUGCGAGUCAUAAGCUCGCGUUGAUUACGUCCCUGCCCUUUGUA
rnacentral:rRNA from 1 species